ACGCGAAGAGAAGUGCCUCUAACCCUAAACGAAGAAGAUUGUCUCCCUUCUCCUGUUACGGUGACCAUAAAACUUUUCCGAUUCUUCCACCAUCUGAAACGUUUUGCGUAAAAGCUUCGUGAUUAAUCACAUUGAUUCGCUCUCCCACUACGUCUUCUUCAAUGCUACGUUUCGAUAUGAUAUGCGGCGAUCUCCGUAUAAAUAUGUGGUUUUUUUCUCCGAUCUGGGUCAGAUGUGAAUUCGACCAUGAAGCAAGCGACCAUGAUAUAUCUCUAAUCAUAACUUUUUGCUAUCUCCACAUCUCUCUGCUACUCAUCUCUCUGCUAUCUCCACAACUUUCCAAAAGCUUUAGAGAGAUCUAAAAAUCUCGACAGCCAUGGAACUACCAAAUCCCAGAGGAUUAUGAUCCAGCCAAUCAAACUUCGAAUCCAUAUUUGGCUAUUUGACCGGAAAGAUUUGAAGACUGAAGAAAUAAUUAAUUGUUCAGGAAUUCAUGGUGUUUUUUGUGCGGCUGAAUUCAUGUAGUACAAAUACUACUGAGUAAUUUCAUCAACACACUACUGAGGAAUUCAUGGUGUUCUUUGUUCAGAAAGUUGUUUCACAUUUUAUUUUUCUUGCAUAUUCAAUUCAUGUCCACGGGCCACUAGACUAACUUAAGGUUAUGUUCUUGAUUCAUCUGUCCCCUUCACAUUAUGUAUCUGAGGUUGAUCAAAAUUACAUGUUUAUGGUGACAAGACCUAGGUCUUGAUGCCCGCAUAAGCUACAUAGAUGGUGCUUAUGAUACUUUUCAGCUGGCCACACUAAGCUAUAUGUUAAUUUAGUGCAGGCAUAUUAAUCUUUAUGUUUUUCAUUUUCCCUGUUUUUUGUUGAUAGAAUUUGAGCGCUAAUAUGUAUUUGACUACAUAGAUCUUCAAAACUAUAUUUUUGAAACGAGAAGAGAGUUUAUUUUUAA